UACGUAGGGGGCGAGCGUUGUCCGGAUUCAUUGGGCGUAAAGAGCUCGUAGGCGGCUUGGCAAGUCGGAUGUGAAAACUCCAGGCUCAACCUGGAGCCGCCAUUCGAUACUGCUAUGGCUAGAGUCCGGUAGGGGAGUGUGGAAUUCCUGGUGUAGCGGUGAAAUGCGCAGAUAUCAGGAGGAACACCAGUGGCGAAGGCGGUGAUCUGGGCCAGUACUGACGCUGAGGAGCGAAAGCGUGGGGAGCAAACAGG
rnacentral:rRNA from 1 species